GGAAGGAAGGAAAGAAGGAAGAAAGAGAAAGGGAGAGAAAGAAAAGGGGGAAGGAAGGAAAGAGGUAGAGAAGGAAGAAAUGAGAGACAGAGGGAGGGAAAGAAAAAGGGGGAAGGAAGGAAGGAGAGAAGGAAAGAAAAAAGGGAAUGAAGGAAGGAAAGAGGGAGUGAAGGAAGGGCGAAGAUGUAGAGAAAGAGGGAGGGAAGGAAAGAAGAAA